GAUAGUAUAGGUUUAUGUCAUACCUCCCUAUCUAUACAUUUGAAUAAACAUCCUUUGUAAAUGCACGUUUGUACUGCAAUGUACCUACGCUUGCAGUGUACGCCAGUGACGUAACCAGGGUUUUUCUAUUGAGUGGGUUUGAUAAUUAUAUACACAUCGAUGGGUUAACUAGGGUCUCCUAUAAGUUUAGCACACUGAUUCCGGGGUUUUAUUUUAGGUUUU